UGAGUAACGCGUGAGCAACCUACCUUCCAGAGGGGGAUAACACAGGGAAACCUGUGCUAAUACCGCAUAAAGUACAGUGGGGGCAUCCCUGCAGUACCAAAGGAGCAAUCCGCUGGGAGAUGGGCUCGCGUCCGAUUAGGUAGUUGGUGGGGUAACGGCUCACCAAGCCGACGAUCGGUAGCCGGACUGAGAGGUUGGCCGGCCACAUUGGGACUGAGACACGGCCCAGACUCCUACGGGAGGCAGCAGUGGGGAAUAUUGGGCAAUGGGCGGAAGCCUGACCCAGCGACGCCGCGUGAGGGAAGACGGCCUUCGGGUUGUAAACCUCAGUUAUACGGGACGAGGGAAGUGACGGCACCGUAAGAGAAAGCCACGGCUAACUACGUGCCAGCAGCCGCGGUAAUACGUAGGUGGCGAGCGUUAUCCGGAUUUACUGGGUGUAAAGGGUGAGUAGGCGGGGGAGCAAGUCAGGAGUGAA
rnacentral:rRNA from 1 species